GGCAAGUAAAAAGACUGCAGCUGAGUGAAAAAGUACAAGAGACAAUUCAAGUUGCCAGACGAUGACGUCAGACACACCCUGGACUCUGCCAUUGGACAGCUCGCCACCACGUGACCAAAGCAGCCUCCUGGUUGGACCAGAAUGAAGUGUUUGGAUGAUUGCUGGACCUUCUGCAGUCUCACUGCUGUGCAGAUUUGGACCUCAGGGUCAGAAAGUGCAACAUUCCUGCCACUCAGGAGCAAUAAUCCCAUGGAUGAUUAUGGACAGGCAUUUUGGAGCAAUGUGAAGCAGAAGCAGAGAACGGCCUACAAAAAACAUGCAGCAACAACAUUAAUUUGGUUGCAGAAGCCCAGGAUGAGGCACAAGAAGAAGCAUGGGAGCAAGAAUGCUACCCAGUGGUCUUCAUGGAACUCUCCACCAACCUCCAACUCCUGCUGUCCUGACUCCCAAUAUCAUGGAUUAUUUCCCUCUGUCUCAUUGUGAGGCCUUCAUUGAUCCAUAUAUCCAAUCAGACUUGGCCAAUUAUAUUCCUGUUCAAGCCCCGAUCAUCAUCACCAAAUUCCAAAACGGUCCCAGGGCCCGUUAGUGGCCGUCUUAUGUAAAAAAUACAUUUACUUUUACUCAUUAGUUUGAAUCCCACAGCACACCGUAGUAUUUUAGUUCAAAAACUGUCCAUGAACAUUACAGUGAAUCUGCAGCUCCUCUUGAGCACAGCAUGCAAAAAAAACCCACAACGGCAUAUUUGUGUGGGUGUUUCGAGUAAUGUUGCAUGCUUAAAUCAAUGGGAUAGUUGUCCUAUUUAAUGUCACUUUAUGCUUCUUUUCUGUAUUAUGCACUGUAAAAUGAAUGUAGUGAAUGUUGUAAAUUAUUUUGUAAAAUGCAACAAUCCUUUGGUACAGAUCUUGGUUGUUAAUUUCUCAACAUGCCUAAUGAAUGCGCUCCCUGAUAAUGACUUUUACUUCCACCACUAUUCUGUGAAAUAUUGCCAGGUUGCAUCCUGAAAAGGUAACAACUUUCCGAUUAGGAAUGCUUCGACAAAGCUCUUCACAAUUGUGCAUUCAGGUUGCACAGUCCAGCAACAGAAAGCGUCUCCCUUGCUGCCCCCUCCAAGUUCCCCACCAUUAAUCAUGGAGCCUUUCUAACACUCCAACCACGAGUUCUAAACCCACUGGGCACCAUGACAGGAAUCCUCGCCUCCUACUUCCCGAGCCUCGCCAAUACAAAAGCCAAAUUGAGGUGCUGCAAGUCAGGGCUGGCCUCCCUCUCUUGAGGAGUGGGGGGCAUGUUAGCUUUCCGAAGCCACAACAAUCCAGAGUGUCAGCCGCUAAUGACAGCAUAUUUUGCUAAAGAAACA